ACACGUGGGCACAUCAAGAGAUAAUAUCAGACACCCGUAAAAUCAGAUAAGGCCUUAGAAACAAAACAAAAGCCCGCACAUAUUUACAGAAACAGAGUCGGCGGUACAGAAAAGAAAGGAGAAAUAAGGAACUAGGGUUUGAGUGUUCGAGUGAAUUGAUCCAGACAGAUUCAAGAGUUGAUAGUGACUCCAGGUUCUAAAGCAAGUACCAGUUAGCGUACAGCAAAAGCCAGACCUAAGUAUGCCGAGGAUGCGUCUUACCGCUCGCAAGAGGGUCCCACUUAGCCAUCCACAGAUAUUUCGGUUCAACCUCCCUGCUCAGGUAGAAAGAAUCCAGAGUAUACAUAGAACUUUUGGUAGUAUGUAAUAAAAUUUGAACUAGCCAUAAAACUUAUUUAGACUUUUGGAGGGUUUGUGUGGUUUACUGUAAAAGCUACUCUAGGUAGGUGUGUAGUGUGUAAUCACAUUAUGGUUUUAUUAGUGCUUGUUUCAUAUCAUAAAUUGUGUACGAUCCAGUUGCAUGUAGGGGUCAUAUUAUUGUUUUAUAAUAUUAGCAUUUCAUUCCGCUGUGCA